rnacentral:lncRNA from 1 species
GAGUGACAUCUUGAAUUGCCUUCGAUUCCAAAUGGCCAUUUAACCUGCAAACAUCCCUCUCAUGAUUACAACUUUUUGGAAAAGACAAACAUGGUCAUGCCCCUCAUAAAUGUAGAAUGUGGAGAAUAUCCAUUCUUCGAUGAGAAUGCAGUUCGUAUCCUCCUCAACAAUUUUUGUUAAAUGAUUCUAUCAAGAAAGCUACUUCUGCAACUCGAGUCAGCAAGCUCGGCUCGACUAUAGAAGUAGGGCUGUAGGGGGCAAGUGAUAUGCAUCAAAACCAACUACAAUUCAUGCGAGGGGCCAUCCAACUAAAGCUCAUCAUGAAGCCAGUAAAUCACCAAUCGGGGCAGCCACUUGGUAUGCCUAGAAGUGCAUGGUCAAGUUUGAAUUUUAAGCCGCU